UAUGAAGGGGGCUAGCGUUGUUCGGAUUUACUGGGCGUAAAGCGCACGUAGGCGGAUCGUUAAGUCAGGGGUGAAAUCCUGGAGCUCAACUCCAGAACUGCCUUUGAUACUGGCGAUCUUGAGUCCGGAAGAGGUGAGUGGAACUCCUAGUGUAGAGGUGGAAUUCGUAGAUAUUAGGAAGAACACCAGUGGCGAAGGCGGCUCACUGGUCCGGUACUGACGCUGAGGUGCGAAAGCGUGGGGAGCAAACAGGG
rnacentral:rRNA from 1 species